rnacentral:rRNA from 1 species
GACGAACGCUGGCGGCGUGCUUAACACAUGCAAGUCGAGCGAUGAAGCAACCUUUCGGGUGUGAAAUUAGCGGCCGAACGGGUGAGGAACACGUGAAGAAUCUGCCUUCAACUCUGGGAUAACUCCGGGAAACCGGGGCUAAUACCGGAUAUGAGCCUUGAUCGCAUGAUCGGGGCUGGAAAGUUUUUCGGUUGAAGAUGACUUCGCGGCCUAUCAGCUUGUUGGUGAGGUAAUGGCUCACCAAGGCGACGACGGGUAGCCGGCCUGAGAGGGCGAACCGGCCACACUGGGACUGAGACACGGCCCAGACUCCUACGGGAGGCAGCAGUGGGGAAAUNUUGGGCAAUGGAGGAAACUCUGACCCAGCGAACGCCGCGUGAGGGA